rnacentral:ncRNA from 18 species
UAGGACGUCCAACUAUAUGGUCGACGGCAGGUCCGCGGUGUCAGGGAAGCCGGUGUGAGUCCGGCACGGUCCCGCCACUGUGACCGGGGAGUCCGUCCUCGCAGAUGACGGCCACUGGCAGCCAGCCGGGAAGGCCUGAGGGCGUGCGGUGAUCCGGGAGUCAGGAUACCGGCCGCGGGUGGUUCGUGUUUU